rnacentral:rRNA from 1 species
UACGUAGGGGGCGAGCGUUGUCCGGAUUUAUUGGGCGUAAAGCGCAUGCAGGCGGUCCUGUAAGUUUGGAGUGACAGUUUCCGGCUCAACCGGGAAAGUGCUUUGAAAACUGCGGGACUUGAGGGCUUCAGAGGGACACGGAAUUCCGGGUGGAGUGGUGAAAUGCGUAGAUAUCCGGAGGAACACCGAAGGCGAAGGCAGUGUCCUGGGGAGCACCUGACGCUCAGAUGCGAAAGCCAGGGGAGCGAACGGG